UGCAAGUCGAACGGUAAGUAGUGUAGCAAUACAUUACCAAGAGUGACGUACGGGUGCGUAACACGUAUGCAACCUACCCAUAACAGGAGGAUAGCUCCCCGAAAGGGGAAUUAACCCUCCAUAGUAUAAUUGAGUGGCAUCAUUUGAUUAUUAAAACUCCGGUGGUUAUGGAUGGGCAUGCGUCUGAUUAGUUAGUUGGCGGUGUAACGGACCACCAAGACGAUGAUCAGUAGGGGAACUGAGAGGUUGAUCCCCCACACUGGCACUGAGAUACGGGCCAGACUCCUACGGGAGGCAGCAGUAGGGAAUAUUGGUCAAUGGAUGCAAGUCUGAACCAGCCAUGCCGCGUGCAGGAAGAAGGCCCUAUGGGUUGUAAACUGCUUUUGCCAGGGGAUAAAAUGGGCUUGCGAGCCUAAUUGAAGGUACCUGGUGAAUAAGCCACGGCUAACUACGUGCCAGCAGCCGCGGUAAUACGUAGGUGGCAAGCGUUGUCCGGAUUUAUUGGGUUUAAAGGGUGCGUAGGCGGUCUUAUAAGUCAGUGCUGAAAUAUCCCGGCUUAACCGGGAGGGUGGCAUUGAUACUGUAGGACUUGAGUAAAGUUGAGGUAGGCGGAAUUGACGGUGUAGCGGUGAAAUGCUUAGAUAUCGUCAAGAACACCGAUAGUGAAGACAGCUUACUAAACUUUAACUGACGCUGAGGCACGAAAGCGUGGGGAUCAAACAGGAUUAGAUACCCUGGUAGUCCACACUGUAAACGUUGAUGACUCGCUGUGUGCGAUAUACAGUACGCGGCUUAGCGAAAGCGAUAAGUCAUCCACCUGGGGAGUACGCCGGCAACGGUGAAACUCAAAGGAAUUGACGGGGGUCCGCACAAGCGGUGGAGCAAGUGGUUUAAUUCGAUGAUACGCGAGGAACCUUACCUGG
rnacentral:rRNA from 1 species